rnacentral:lncRNA from 1 species
CGUUCCUGCACCACAGAGGUCGCUGAAAACAUAACACGGGCUACGCGAGGAGCGGGAUUAAGUCCUUAGUGGCUCAGCCAGCACCGGGGACCAGUUUUCAAGCCAGCAAAGGUAGUUUUCACCACAUGGAUGGCUGUUGGUUGGGGAAACAGGUCAAGGGAUUGCUAGGAAAGCCUCCCCGCUACCGGAGCCCAAGGAGCGGCACCGCUUGUAGAGCCAGCGUCCCAUCCACGGCCUCCAGCAGCGUGCCCACGGCGCAGCUCAGCGCCCGUGCUGCAGAACCCACCACACAGCAGCGCCCGGGCACUGGGGCCCCAGUCCCGCUCACAGCCUCGGCCACAGCCGGGGAACCUUUCCUCUGAGCAGGCUGAAGCCUCCUGGUGCCAGCCAGGUCUCCGCAGACCGCAGUCAGGCUUCCCGAGACGCAGCUACGCGAUGCCUCACGCUCUCCUGCGGAAGACCUCGUAUUUAUUGCCUCUCUCCUAUCUUUUGAGAAACACCUGCAACGCUACGUUGGCUCCGACGGCACAAAGAGCCUGGCGGAGCCAAGCCUGGAGCUUAUCCUGUUUGCUGCUGCUCACAUCUCCGAGAAGUCACCUGGCAGGCCCCGGCAAAAAGGACAGGCAAGCUCCAGCCAAACUCCUACCAAGCAGCGCCGUGGGCUGCAGAACCGGCAUCCCGAGCAGCCAGCACCUCCCGCCGUGUCCCCGGGCAUGCGGGGUGCUGCCCGAGCAUCACCCGAGAAGCCAGCACCCGGUUCUCAUCCCACAGCCCUAAGAACGAUGCCGUGACACCCCAAACUCUGCGGGGCAGAGGCCGCUGCAGACCCACGCGGGGCUUGGCGCCCACCAUCGCUGCCCGGCCGGACGCCUCCCUGCGGCCCCUUGCUGCUGCCGCCCCUCGCCCCGCGACACGCAGCAAGCGGCCGCCGCUGGCACCCCGUCUGCAGCCCCAGCACCCGAACCGGGGAGCCCUGCCCGUCGCAGCCCGCCGGGGGAACGCCGCCGUCGUUCUCCGCUCGCCCCGGCGGCCCGGCCCCUGCCCCAGCCCCCCUGACCGGCUGCUCCCCCCCCUCCCAGGCUGUCUGCACGGACGGGCGCCUCUUCAACCACCUGGAGACCAACUGGCGCUUCAGCCCCGGCAUCCCCGGCUACCCCCGCACCAGCACCGUGGAUUUCUCGGUAAGAGCCCGCUCCGGUGGGGCCCAGGGGUGGUGCCCGCUGCCGGGACCCGUCCCCGUGCCCCCCGCCGGGCACUCACGCUGCUUGCUCUGCUCCCCAGAUCUCCUUCGAGUUUCGCUCCCUGCUGCACUCCCAGCUGGCCACUGUCUUCUUCGACGAGGUGGUCAAGCAGAUGGUGGCAGCCUUCGAGCGCCGGGCGGCCAAGAACUUCGGUCCCGAGACCCGCAUCCCCCGCGAGCUCAUGUUCCACGAGGUCCACCAGACGUGAGGGCAGCCCGGCUGCUGCGGACUGCGCCAGGGCCCCGGGGCCGCUCGCCCUGCCCACCCUCUUAAAUAUUUAUUUGAGUGCAUCUUUGCUGCCGUUGCCUCGACUUCCCUCCCAGCCUCGGGGGCGAGAGGCGAUGCUCCUGCAAGCGCGGGGGCCGCUGUGAGCCCCCCCGGUCCCAUCUCAACACCAGGGGAGCUGCGGCCCAGGGCCAGCCUCCCCCUGGUUGUGUAGCUGAUUUUGGUUUUAAGUUUUGUUUCGUUUUAGUUCUUGGGAGUUUUUUUUUUUUUUAAAAAAAAAAAAGAGAACUCUUUUGUUCCUCCUAACUCCUCUGCAAGGCCAGAGGGUCCCAACCCCUCUGCAGGGGUGGAGGAGCUCCUGGGGCAGCUCUGCCCGCGCCCUGCGGAGGAGGAAGGUUGGUGCUGGCAGCGGGGGGGGCCCAGCCGGGUCCCGCUGGGGAACACCAGGGGCCAGGGCUUGCCAGGGGGGGUGGGAGGAGGGGGGGGGCCGCCUACCAGGNNNNNNNNNNNNNNNNNNNNGGGAGGAAACGGCGGCUCCCGCGAGCCCGGCUGGGUGCUGCACCGCCGCCGGCCGUGUCCGUGCCCCGCCGCCGGUGUGGGUGCCGCGCAGGUGAGCCCCGGGCCGGCGCAGCACCGGGCGGUGCGAGCGAGCGGCGGGCACGGCCCCCGAGCUGCCGGCUAUUCUGGGAGCUCGGGGGCUGCCAGGCGCCGCGGGUGACUCUCCUUGGCGCAGGAAUGUCCCGCGGCUCCCGGGGGGGAAGCGGCGGGACCUUUCCUCCCUCGGCUGCCGGUCCUGGGGGAGAGCUGGCGUGCCCCGCUGGCGGGCACGGCUAAAAAUACCUGCGCUGCCCCGCGGGCGCUGGAGCGUCUCCAGGUGCGGCCGGCGCUGACCCCGCGGCUCCGCCGUGCCCGGGGAGGGGUCGCGGUGCCCGCCUGCCGCCGCGGUGCCCGCCCGGUGUGCGGAGGGGCUCGGGCCGGCUGCUGGAAGCCCAGGGAGCGGACGGCAGCGCCGCGGGAGGACCCUGCUGCUGUACCGGCGGCGAGACGCCGUGCCCGGGAUCCCGCUGCUGGCAGGGCUCGGCCUGUCCCCGCGAAGCCGGGAGCGUCGCCUCCCUUCGCGCCGGGCGGCGCGGGCACCGGCUGCAG